UUGAUCCUGCCGGAGGUCAUACGCUUGUUCCAAGGACUAAGCCAUGCAUAUGCGCGGCACACUUUAAUAGACAGAUUGGCUCCGGCCUUUCUCGAGAAGGACUCUGUGGACGGCUCAUUAUUGCGAUUGCUUUAACUUAAGAAGGUUGUCUUAAUGACAUCCUGGGGAUAUACGCGGUAACCUGCCGUUAAUACCUGUAUAAACGCACCUACGGGAUUCUCACACUUGACUUCUUAACGUGUGCAAACAUGUUUAAAGGACUUGUGUGUGGUCCUGGUUUACCAAAAGCAUCCUUCGAACCCGUUCGGUAACUAAGUUAGCCUUUGGGCACCCUUUGAACUGAGAAAUUGUUAGUGAACAUCUGGUAAAACAAGGUUCUCUCGAGAACCAGUAUAAGAUAAGUAAUCGAUCCUAUCAGCUCUUGAAGGCAUGGUCUUGGCCUGCCUUGGCAGUAACGGGUCACGGAGAAUUAGGGUUUGAUUCCGGAGAGGAAGCCUGAGACACGGCUACCAUGUCCACGGUCAGCAGCAGGCACGUAAAUUGCCCCAUACUGAACUAUCGAAACAGUGAGGCAGCGACGGAACAUACCACGGGGCGUGGGCGUCCAACCCACCUCCGGCGGAAUGGUGAGAAUGUGAAACUUUCUCAGAGGAUCUACUUGAGAGCAAGUCUGGUGCCAGCAGUCGCGGUAACUCCAGCUCAGGGAGCGUAUACUUACGUUGUUGCUCUUAGAGGACUCUCAGUUGGAUGCUGAAAAGGGGGAAAACACUGAGAACAACGGAUGUUGACUCUCUUUGUUUGGUUUGGGGCUCGAAAGGCCUUUUCACUUAACUCCCUUUAAAAGAGAUAAGCCCGAGAGCACAACAGCCAAUAUGAUAGGGUUUCGGCCCACUUUACCCAUUCGGAUGAAGCAGAGUUUACGUUGACACUGGUCAACAAUGUUAAACAAGGCACUGCCUCGGCAAGUUGAUUCGUACAUAAAUCAUAGUUACUCAAAGCAUGUUAGAAGGUCCCCCUUGGCCACGGUGCAGCACGCGAAGUGCGGCCGAAGAUAUGGGGGCUGGUAUCGCGAGAUUCCCAAAGCCCGUUGUUGCAACUGUGUGCAGAAGUAUGAAAUCCCACGUUCAAUAAUGAGACAACUCAAAGUCUUAUUGCGGAAGUUUGGACUCUAGUCUCUAGCCGCGGUUCAUUGAUCCCCUGGGUUAUCCCUCGUGGACGUGUUCCGUUGGUAUUGCCAAAGUGACCGGACACGUUUGUCUGUACCUUCUGGGAAGCGGUGAUAUGCGAUGAUCCUGAAGGGACGACCUAACGCGAAAGCAGAUUGACUGAAUGGCUUAAUCUAUCAUGAGUCUGAGCAUGAGGAUCGAAAAGGAUCAGAUACCCUUGUAGUUCGUUUUGCCCUAAACGAUAGUGCCCAUUGACUUAUCAGGACGACGCCGAUGAGGCCCUGGUAGGUCGAACUAGAGUGAAAACUUUGAGGUUCUGCCUCGAGGGGGAAGUAUAGUCGCAAGUCUGAAACUUAAAGGAAUUGACGGACUCGCACCACAAGCAGUGGAUUUUGCGGUUCAAUUGGACCCAACGCCCAAAAACUUACUUGGACAGAACACACUGGUGCAUGACGGAUUGAUGAUCCUUCAUAAGUGUGUGAAGGGUGGUGCAUGGCCACACGAAGUUCGUGGGAUGACCUGUCUGCUUAAUUGCGAUAACGGGCAAGACCCUCACUGUAUGGUAAGAGUUUCAGUGUUUCAAACCGAAGGCUUGCUUCAGCCCGGGUUCGCUUGGGUCUAAGGCAGAUUCUGCGGGAACUGCAAAGCGUCUAACUUACAGAAUGCGGAUAUCCGAUAAGGGCUUGUCAACUGGGGGACC
rnacentral:rRNA from 1 species